GCCUCGGUAGUUAAAGGCUUAGGACGCUCGCAUGGAAUGCAAGUGAUCCGGAUUCGACUCUUGGCUGAGGUA
rnacentral:tRNA from 1 species